rnacentral:rRNA from 1 species
UACGUAGGGGACGAGCGUUGUCCGGAUUCAUUGGGCGUAAAGCGCGCGUAGGCGGUUCGGUAAGUCGGGUGUGAAAACACGAGGCUCAACCUCGUGCGUGCAUCCGAUACUGCCGGACUAGAGGUAGGUAGGGGAGAUCGGAAUUCCUGGUGCAGCGGUGAAAUGCGCAGAUAUCAGGAAGAACACCCGUGGCGAAGCCGGCUCUCUGGGACGGUACUGACGCUGAGACGCGAAAGCGUGGGGAGCAAACAGG